GCUGGGGUGGCGGAAUUGGUAUACGCGCAUGGCUUAGGACCAUGUCCCUCACGGGUUAGGAGUUCAAGUCUCCUCCCCAGCA
rnacentral:tRNA from 1 species